rnacentral:rRNA from 1 species
GAUGAACGCUGGCGGCGUGCCUAAUACAUGCAAGUAGAACGCUGAAGGAGGAGCUUGCUCUUCUGGAUGAGUUGCGAACGGGUGAGUAACGCGUAGGUAACCUGCCUGGUAGCGGGGGAUAACUAUUGGAAACGAUAGCUAAUACCGCAUGACAACAGUUAUUGCAUGAUAACUGUUUAAAAGGGGCAACUGCUCCACUACCAGAUGGACCUGCGUUGUAUUAGCUAGUUGGUGAGGUAACGGCUCACCAAGGCGACGAUACAUAGCCGACCUGAGAGGGUGAUCGGCCACACUGGGACUGAGACACGGCCCAGACUCCUACGGGAGGCAGCAGUAGGGAAUCUUAGGCAAUGGACGGAAGUCUGACCGAGCAACGCCGCGUGAGUGAAGAAGGUUUUCGGAUCGUAAAGCUCUGUUGUAAGAGAAGAACGAGUGUGAGAGUGGAAAGUUCACACUGUGACGGUAGCUUACCAGAAAGGGACGGCUAACUACGUG